GUGCUCACUUGGGCAGCACAUAUACUAAAAUUGGAAUGAUACAGAGGAGGUAGCAUGGCCCCUGCACAAGGAUAAGCAUAUAUUGCAAAGUGAUUACUUCAGUA
ensembl:snRNA U6 U6 spliceosomal RNA